rnacentral:rRNA from 1 species
UACGAAGGGGGCUAGCGUUGCUCGGAAUUACUGGGCGUAAAGGGCGCGUAGGCGGAUAUUUAAGUUGGGGGUGAAAUCCCGGGGCUCAACCUCGGAAUUGCCUUCAAAACUGGAUAUCUUGAGUUCGGGAGAGGUGAGUGGAACUCCGAGUGUAGAGGGUGAAAUUCGUAGAUAUUCGCAAGAACACCAGUGGCGAAGGCGGCUCACUGGCCCGGUACUGACGCUGAGGUGCCGAAAGCGUGGGGAGCAAACAGG